rnacentral:miRNA from 1 species
UGUAGCUCAGUUGGUAGAGU